rnacentral:rRNA from 1 species
UGAGGAAUAUUGCACAAUGGGCGCAAGCCUGAUGCAGCGACGCCGCGUGUGGGAUGAAGGGGCUACGCCUCGUAAACCACUGUAGCCCGGGACGAAAAACGCCUUAGAGGCGUUAGACGGUACCGGGAAAGUAAGGGUCGGCUAACUACGUGCCAGCAGCAGCGGUAAUACGUAGGACCCAAGCGAUGUCCGGAUUUACUGGGUGUAAAGGGUGCGCAGGCGGAUGGGUAAGUCAGGGGUGAAAGUCUGCAGCUUAACUGUAGAAUUGCCUUGUAUACUGCUCAAGUUGAGUGUGGGAGAGUUUGAUGGAAUUCCAGGUGUAGCAGUGAAAUGCGUAGAUAUCUGGAAGAACACCAGUGGCGAAGGCGGUCAACUGGCCCAUAACUGACGCUCAUGCAC